rnacentral:rRNA from 1 species
UGGUGCAUGGUUGUCGUCAGCUCGUGCCGUGAGGUGUUGGGUUAAGUCCGCACGAGCGCAACCCCUAUUGAUAGUUUGCUAAUAUUAAGUUAAGGACUCUAUUGAGACUGCCAGCGACAAGCUGGAGGAAGGUGGGGAUGACGUCAAAUCAUCAUGCCCUUUAUGACCUGGGCUACAAACGUACUACAAUGGCCAGAUACAAAGAGAUGCGAAGCCGCGAGGUGGAGCGAACCUCAUAAAAAAUGGUCUCAGUUCGGAUUGGAGUCUGCAACUCGACUCCAUGAAGUCGGAAUCGCUAGUAAUCGCGGGUCAGCAGACCGCGGUGAAUACGUUCCCGGGUUUU